UUGCACUGAGUCCUUUUGGUCUCACCCUGCUGUGGUCCCCACUGGCACUCCCCUCCUGGGCACGUGGCCCUGUGUUUCCAGGAUGUGCUGGAUUUGAAAGAGCUGCUCCCCAUGAGUAGCUGCACAUUAAGGAGAUAAGUGAACUUCAAAGGGCUAAAUACCAAUCAGAAGAUGGAAGAUGGCCACACAUAAAGCUACGCUGCUUCUGCAAACCCCUUUAGUAGCCAGACAAGGUCACUGAUCAGGGCAUGGAAAUGAAGUUUUCUGUCUGGUUGUAUUGAAGACUGGAUUCAGAGGGCCAGGUUUUGAAGAUCCUUGGCAGCAUGUGGGUCUCUCAAGUGCCUGCUGGGGCUCUCAGAAAUGCCCAUUCAGCCACAUUCAGCUUAUAUGAAGGACACAAGCCUGUUUCUUAAAGGACCUGAUGAUGAAAACUGCUAAUCACCCAAGGAGCCAUUACGAGUGUGAGUCAAGCCAGGAUGUAGGGCUGAAAAGCCAGGGAAGAGCUGAAGUUUCUGAUACAUCCCUGCUCUCUGCACAGGUGUCCCACCAGAUUUCACAGCAGUUCAGGAAUCACAGUCGAGUUGGAGAGAGAGAAAUGGGUGGAGAAUCCCAGCAGAAUUGGUGGAUGCUCAUCACCUGCAAAGCUGUGACUCUUCUGCUCUGCCCAGAAAAACCAGUGAGACAUUGAAGUGUCAUUUCUUCCUCACCUGUGAGA